rnacentral:lncRNA from 1 species
GGCAACCCGCUCGGGUCCCCUUCCACAAUGUGGAAGCUUUGUUCUUUUGCUCUUUGCAAUAAAUCUUGCUGCUGCUCACUCUUAGGGUCCACACUACCUUUAUGAGCUGUAACACUCACCGUGAAGGUCUGCAGCUUCACUCCUGAAGCCAGCGAGACCACGAACCCACCGGGAGGAACGAACAACUCCAGAUGCGCCGCCUUAAGAGCUGUAAUACUCACCACGAAGGUCUGCACCUUCACUGCUGAGCAAGCGAGACCACGAACCCACCAGAAGAAAGAAACUCCUAACACAUCCGAACAUCAGAAGGAAGAAACUCCAGACGUGCCAUCUUAAGAGCUGUAACACUCACCGUGAAGGUCUGCAGCUUCAUUGUUGAAGUCAGUGAGACCAAGAACCCACCAAUUCCGGACACAGAAGGACGAGGAAUGAAGGGUGUUCCGCUGGAGAGUGAAGGAAGCCAUCCUUGAGGAGUCAAGAUAAACUUCGGAUGUAAGCUGAACGGUCACUGGGUCACAGAAUUCCACCGGGAACGGGAAGAGCCUCUGGAGCAGCGCCCACAGUCCUGCCUUCUGUGCUUGGGAGUUUUCAAAGUGAGUUCUGGGAAAUGUUAGGCCAUGUAUAAAAGAAGAGGUGGUCUUAAGAAAGGCCAUGGUACCCGUGGCUGGAGGUCCUGGACACAGCCUCUCCCUCAUCUCAUCCAUGGAGAAAGUUCCCUAUAUUAGUUUGUUCUCACAUUGCUAUAAAGAACUACCCAAGCCUGGGUAAUUUAUAAAGAAAAGAGGUGUAAUUGACUCACAGCUGUGCAGGCUGUACAGGAAGCCUGGCUGGGGAGGCCUGAGGAAAUUUUCAAUCAUGGCAGAAGGUGAAGUGGAAACAAGCACAUCUUCCAUGGCUGGAGAAGGAGGGAGAGAGCGAAGGGUAAGGCACCACAUGCUUUUGAACGGCCAAGUCUUGUGAGAACUCACUCACGAUCAUGAGAACAGCCAGGAGGAAUUCUACCCCCAUGAUCAAAUCACUUACCACCAGGUCCCUCCCCCAACACUGGGGAUUAAAAUUUGACAUGAGAUUUGGUCAAGGACACAAAUCCAAACUCUGUCAUUCACCAACAUGUUAUGGCACCUACCGCUCCUUGCCUCAAUGCUCGUUUUCAGCUAGCUUCAGUUGCCAGUUUCUGGUGCUUCUUAAAUGGGUUUCUUAAAUGGUUUUCGGAGGUUAUGUAAAAAUGUGUCACCGAAAUUUGUGUGUAUGCGUGUGUGUGUGUCUGCACACAUGCACAUGAUCUCCUGGGGGAGAGAUUCAAACAUUUUCAUCAUGUUUUCAAAAGAUGCUGGGAUCCACGGAAGGUUAAUAAUUACUUCUUCUUGUGUCCUUGUUCAGCAUGGGUUCUUUCAGUGAAAUUAGGUGAAUACAUCAUAUAGCCUGACAAUGUGAAUAUAGAUUGUGCUAUAAUUUAAGUGUUUCUUCCAAGAAGCAAGUGUUGAAAGCUUAAUCGUUAAGACAACAGUGUUGGGAGGUGGGGCCUGAUGAGGUUGAUGCCAUCAUGAUGGGAGUGAGUGAGUUACUGUGAGAGCAGGCUCCUGAUAACAGGAUGAGUAUGGCCCCCUUCCACUGCUCUCUCACACACACACUCUUGCCCUUCUGCCUUUCAUCAUGUUAUGAUGUGGGAAGAAGGCCCUCGCCAGAUGCCAGCCUCUUGAUCUUGGAUUUCCCAGCCUCCAGAACUGUAAGCCAAUAAAUUUCUGUUCAUUAUAAA